AAUAAAAAUAUUUUUGGUUGGGGCAACCGCGAAGAAAAAACAACCUUCGAUAAACAAAAAAAUUAACAAAUUUAAAAUUUUUAAAAAAAGAUCCAGAAAUACUGAUCAAAGAAAAAAGUUACCGCAGGGAUAACAGCGUUAUUCUCUUUGAGAGUUCUUAUUGACAAGAGAGUUUGCGACCUCGAUGUUGGACCGGGGCACCUAAGAGGAGCAAAAACCUCUAAAAGUAGGUCUGUUCGACCUUUAAAGCCCUACGCGAUCUGAGUUCAGACCGACGCAAGUCAGGUCAGUUUCUAUCUA
rnacentral:rRNA from 1 species